UAAAAAGCAAUAAAACAGACAUGAUAUUGAUUCAAUCCUUUAUUUGCACUUUCGCGUUUACACUUCAGAAAUAAUCUGAUUUGGGAACUUAAAGUGUUAAAAAAGAACGUUGGGAAACCGAAGCGACACUGUACGGACACUGGUCGGUGAUUUGGCGGUGUCAUUCUUUCGGUGUUUCACCAUUUUGGGGGGAGGAAUGCAGAGAAUUAAAUGGGAUUUUUCCAGAUUAUAGAUAACAGUCUGUGUCUCCUGAUGUUGCCAUAAAGGGCUUUUGAUCGCCCUCAUCAAAAAUAAUAUUCAUUUUUUAUGAAAACAUGUAACUUUCCCUCCUGAAUGGCUUAUCAAUCUAAAGAAUCUUAUAACCUGAGUAAUAAAAAAAAAAAGUAAUCUAUACAAAAAUAACAUCUCACAGUAUAUCUCCAUAAUGCUUCUAGAAUUGCCGUAACACAAUUAAAAAACGAAUCAUCAUAUUGGAUACAACAGAGUGCAUAAUGAAGGAUUUUGGAUGGAUUUACAAGGGUGAUGCUUAAUUCAAAUUAUGACUUUUACAAUAAAACAGUGGUCAGGAUGAAACAGUUCAUGUUACCAAGGCAACAGUAUGUGGCACAAUGGGCACAAAAGUUGAAAUCCACUCAGCUGCUGCAAACGUUUGGCAUUAUAUAAAUGUAUUGUUCUGUUUUGUAUUGUAUUUCUCACCAAUUUCCAUUACAAAGCAAGUACUGUAAUUCACACUCAGGUCUCAUAGAAGAAAACAUUCGUGAACCAAACGGGCUGGUAGAAUCAAAAAUUGAAUUGGUCCUUAAAAGGCUCGAUCAUAUAUUUUUCUUUUACAUCACAGCACAAAAUGAUGACCACUGUUGUGUGAUGCAUUCAGCACAUAUGCGAGAAUGAUUAAUUAAAUACACAUAUAGCUCUCUACACAUAUUUACAGAAUAUAUUUUAUGACUGCAGAAUACCACACCUGCAGCAAAAGUGUAUUUGCGUCAUCACAUUUAUAUUGAACAAUAUAGCAUUAUAAUUGCUGGGAGUCGUCAUGAGGUAUACGUGAACACCAAAGCAGCCUUUGGAGAGGAGCAGAUAUUUUACAGAGGUGUACAGGAAUGGGAAGAUGAUAACUGUGAUACACUCUACGUCUCAUUCAGCUAUUGAAAAUAAUAUAUAAAUAUCAUAAUAAAAAUAAAUAGAUAAAACAAGUUGAAGCGUUUCCAAUUUUUAAAUGCAACUAUACAAUUCAGUUGAAAAAUGAACUGAAAUCCCAAAGUGGGAUAAAUUUAAAAUAGAAAAUACAGUUGCAUAAUUAAAUGUAUAUAUAUUUUUUGAAGCACCUUGUCGGACCUUUACAAUCUCUUUCCAGUCACAUUGGACAGGUCUGUCUGUGGCACGUCUUGUUGACGAUCAAUUUGGACAUUUUU